GUAGGUGGCAAGCGUUGUCCGGAAUUAUUGGGCGUAAAGCGCGCGCAGGCGGUUCUUUAAGUCUGAUGUGAAAGCCCACGGCUCAACCGUGGAGGGUCAUUGGGAACUGGAGAACUUGAGUACAGAAGAGGAAAGCGGAAUUCCACGUGUAGCGGUGAAAUGCGUAGAGAUGUGGAGGAACACCAGUGGCGAAGGCGGCUUUCUGGUCUGUAACUGACGCUGAGGCGCGAAAGCGUGGGGAGCAAACAGGGUUAGAUACCCUGGUAGUCCACGCCGUAAACGAUGAGUGCUAAGUGUUAGGGGGUUUCCGCCCCCUUAGUGCUGCAGCUAACGCAUUAAGCACUCCGCCUGGGGAGUACGGCCGCAAGGCUG
rnacentral:rRNA from 1 species